rnacentral:rRNA from 1 species
UACGAAGGGGGCUAGCGUUGUUCGGAAUCACUGGGCGUAAAGCGCACGUAGGCGGAUCUUUAAGUCAGGGGUGAAAUCCCGAGGCUCAACCUCGGAACUGCCUUUGAUACUGGGGAUCUCGAGUCCGGGAGAGGUGAGUGGAGCUGCGAGUGUAGAGGUGAAAUUCGUAGAUAUUCGCAGGAACACCAGUGGCGAAGGCGGCUCACUGGCCCGGUACUGACGCUGAGGUGCGAAAGCGUGGGGAGCAAACAGG